ACCACAAGAGUGGGAAUACCCUGGAGUGAGAGGUUGAAUUCAGAAAAAUGUCAAAAUCUUUGUAAAGGUCUACAGCGCGCCUUACAGAAUCUGCUCCUGACUUCCUAAGAGCUGAUUCCCUGUUUCUCCCCUGCUCAUUUAUUUGGCUCUGAGAACACUGUCUUCCUUAAUUAUUCUCUGUCCAUCAGGCUGGUUUCCACCUGGUCAAUUGGCUUAGACUAGAACACCACGGCAUCCCUAACCUCAGGUAGGUCGUAUCUCGCACCAAUGCUCAGCUCCAAUUCCCCUUCCUCUGUGUACAGAGCAUGUGGGACCCUGCCCACCAGCCUCUCUGCUCUCCUCCCCGGCUCCCUUAGGCUUUCUUCUUUUGAACCUCUAACCUGUAUGUCUUAUAGCCCUGAUUCCAAAACCUCCUCUGUAGAUCUUAGCUGCAUGGGACAUACCCAGGGAGCUUGGGAAGGGCACAAUUCUCUUGUGCCUGCUCCCAGGGUCUCUGAAUAGGUCCAGGUGAGGCUGACACUGUGCCUCUUACAGGCUUCCCAGGUAUGUUAUCAUGGGUACUACUGGAGAACCAUGGCCCAAAACCCACCGUUGGCUUUUAGUUUCUUUGUUUUCAUGUACUCACCUGGGGAGCCUGCCAGCCUGAGGGCCCCCUGAGACAUCCUUCUCCUAAAAUUUCUCUGCAGUGACACAAGUAGAGAACCUGCAGGUUGGGAUCUUUGUUAAUAAAUGUUUCAGGCACACAGAACAAAGCGUAGUCUCAGGAGACAUUACGGGCAAUCAGAUUUUGUUGGUUUUUGAUUUUGUUUUUUCUUCCAUAUGAAGGCAGCUGGAAUAAAUGAAGGCAUGGCAGUGGGCUCUCCCACCAGGAUCCAGAAGCCACAGGCCAACUACAGCAGUCCUUCGGCCAUCAGGGAUGCUCACCAUUGUCACAGACGAUGGGAGUCCUGGCACAGACCUUCACACCAUGUCACUCCUGUCUCACCAAGAAGCUUGGAAGGAAAUGUCAGCAGGACUAUAAUUGCUGAGUCCUGGGGACAACAGUGCCACUUCCCAAGAAAAUGGGACUGUUUUCAAGCUGUAAAAUCAAUUGUAAAAGAAAUAGCUCUUG
rnacentral:lncRNA from 1 species